AGAUUAAGUUAUUAAGGGCGCACGGUGGAUGCCUUGGCACUAGAAGCCGAUGAAGGACGUUACUAACGACGAUAUGCUUUGGGGAGCUGUAAGUAAGCUUUGAUCCAGAGAUUUCCGAAUGGGGAAACCCAGCAUGAGUUAUGUCAUGUUAUCGAUAUGUGAAUACAUAGCAUAUCAGAAGGCACACCCGGAGAACUGAAACAUCUUAGUACCCGGAGGAAGAGAAAGAAAAUUCGAUUCCCUUAGUAGCGGCGAGCGAAACGGGAAGAGCCCAAACCAACAAGCUUGCUUGUUGGGGUUGUAGGACACUCUAUACGGAGUUACAAAGGACGACAUUAGACGAAUCAUCUGGAAAGAUGAAUCAAAGAAGGUAAUAAUCCUGUAGUCGAAAAUGUUGUCUCUCUUGAGUGGAUCCUGAGUACGACGGAGCACGUGAAAUUCCGUCGGAAUCUGGGAGGACCAUCUCCUAAGGCUAAAUACUCUCUAGUGACCGAUAGUGAACCAGUACCGUGAGGGAAAGGUGAAAAGCACCCCGGAAGGGGAGUGAAAUAGAACCUGAAACCGUGUGCUUACAAGUAGUCAGAGCCCGUUAAUGGGUGAUGGCGUGCCUUUUGUAGAAUGAACCGGCGAGUUACGAUUUGAUGCAAGGUUAAGCAGUAAAUGUGGAGCCGUAGCGAAAGCGAGUCUGAAUAGGGCGUUUAGUAUUUGGUCGUAGACCCGAAACCAGGUGAUCUACCCUUGGUCAGGUUGAAGUUCAGGUAACACUGAAUGGAGGACCGAACCGACUUACGUUGAAAAGUGAGCGGAUGAACUGAGGGUAGCGGAGAAAUUCCAAUCGAACCUGGAGAUAGCUGGUUCUCUCCGAAAUAGCUUUAGGGCUAGCCUCAAGUGAUGAUUAUUGGAGGUAGAGCACUGUUUGGACGAGGGGCCCCUCUCGGGUUACCGAAUUCAGACAAACUCCGAAUGCCAAUUAAUUUAACUUGGGAGUCAGAACAUGGGUGAUAAGGUCCGUGUUCGAAAGGGAAACAGCCCAGACCACCAGCUAAGGUCCCAAAAUAUAUGUUAAGUGGAAAAGGAUGUGGCGUUGCCCAGACAACUAGGAUGUUGGCUUAGAAGCAGCCAUCAUUUAAAGAGUGCGUAAUAGCUCACUAGUCGAGUGACACUGCGCCGAAAAUGUACCGGGGCUAAACAUAUUACCGAAGCUGUGGAUUGUCCUUUGGACAAUGGUAGGAGAGCGUUCUAAGGGCGUUGAAGCAUGAUCGUAAGGACAUGUGGAGCGCUUAGAAGUGAGAAUGCCGGUGUGAGUAGCGAAAGACGGGUGAGAAUCCCGUCCACCGAUUGACUAAGGUUUCCAGAGGAAGGCUCGUCCGCUCUGGGUUAGUCGGGUCCUAAGCUGAGGCCGACAGGCGUAGGCGAUGGAUAACAGGUUGAUAUUCCUGUACCACCUAUAAUCGUUUUAAUCGAUGGGGGACGCAGUAGGAUAGGCGAAGCGUGCGAUUGGAUUGCACGUCUAAGCAGUAAGGCUGAGUAUUAGGCAAAUCCGGUACUCGUUAAGGCUGAGCUGUGAUGGGGAGAAGACAUUGUGUCUUCGAGUCGUUGAUUUCACACUGCCGAGAAAAGCCUCUAGAUAGAAAAUAGGUGCCCGUACCGCAAACCGACACAGGUAGUCAAGAUGAGAAUUCUAAGGUGAGCGAGCGAACUCUCGUUAAGGAACUCGGCAAAAUGACCCCGUAACUUCGGGAGAAGGGGUGCUCUUUAGGGUUAACGCCCAGAAGAGCCGCAGUGAAUAGGCCCAAGCGACUGUUUAUCAAAAACACAGGUCUCUGCUAAACCGUAAGGUGAUGUAUAGGGCCUGACGCCUGCCCGGUGCUGGAAGGUUAAGAGGAGUGGUUAGCUUCUGCGAAGCUACGAAUCGAAGCCCCAGUAAACGGCGGCCGUAACUAUAACGGUCCUAAGGUAGCGAAAUUCCUUGUCGGGUAAGUUCCGACCCGCACGAAAGGCGUAACGAUUUGGGCACUGUCUCAACGAGAGACUCGGUGAAAUCAUAGUACCUGUGAAGAUGCAGGUUACCCGCGACAGGACGGAAAGACCCCGUGGAGCUUUACUGUAGCCUGAUAUUGAAAUUCGGCACAGCUUGUACAGGAUAGGUAGGAGCCUUUGAAACGUGAGCGCUAGCUUACGUGGAGGCGCUGGUGGGAUACUACCCUAGCUGUGUUGGCUUUCUAACCCGCACCACUUAUCGUGGUGGGAGACAGUGUCAGGCGGGCAGUUUGACUGGGGCGGUCGCCUCCUAAAAGGUAACGGAGGCGCUCAAAGGUUCCCUCAGAAUGGUUGGAAAUCAUUCAUAGAGUGUAAAGGCAUAAGGGAGCUUGACUGCGAGACCUACAAGUCGAGCAGGGUCGAAAGACGGACUUAGUGAUCCGGUGGUUCCGCAUGGAAGGGCCAUCGCUCAACGGAUAAAAGCUACCCCGGGGAUAACAGGCUUAUAUCUCCCCAAGAGUUCACAUCGACGGGGAGGUUUGGCACCUCGAUGUCGGCUCAUCGCAUCCUGGGGCUGUAGUCGGUCCCAAGGGUUGGGCUGUUCGCCCAUUAAAGCGGUACGCGAGCUGGGUUCAGAACGUCGUGAGACAGUUCGGUCCCUAUCCGUCGUGGGCGUAGGAAAUUUGAGAGGAGCUGUCCUUAGUACGAGAGGACCGGGAUGGACAUACCUCUGGUGUACCAGUUGUCGUGCCAACGGCAUAGCUGGGUAGCUAUGUGUGGACGGGAUAAGUGCUGAAAGCAUCUAAGCAUGAAGCCCCCCUCAAGAUGAGAUUUCCCAACUUCGGUUAUAAGAUCCCUCAAAGAUGAUGAGGUUAAUAGGUUCGAGGUGGAAGCAUGGUGACAUGUGGAGCUGACGAAUACUAAUCGAUCGAAGACUUAAUCAAAUU
rnacentral:rRNA from 1 species